rnacentral:rRNA from 1 species
AACGAACGCUGGCGGCAUGCUUAACACAUGCAAGUCGAACGAGACCUCCGGGCUUAGUGGCGCACGUGUGCGUAACGCGUGGGAAACUGCCCUUAGGUUCGGCAUAACUCCCCGUAAGGGGUGCUAAUACCGGAUAAUGUUUUCGGACCAAAGAUUUAUCGCCUUUGGAUGGGGCCGCGUUGGAUUAGCUCGUUGGUAGGGUAAAAGCCUACCAAGGCGACGAUGCAUAGCUGGUCUGAGAGGAGGACCAUCCACACUGGGACUGAGACACGGACCAGACUGGUAGGGAAGGGAGCAGUAGGGAAUAUUGGAGAAGGGAGGAAAGCGUAAUCAAGCAAUGCGGGGGAAGUGAGGAAGGGGUUAGGGUUGUAAAGCUCUUUUACACGGGGUGAUAAUGACAGUACCGGGAGAAUAAGCACCGGCUAACUACGUG